AUUGAACGCUGGCGGCAUGCCUUACACAUGCAAGUCGAACGGCCGCACGGGUGCUUGCCCCUGGUGGCGAGUGGCGCACGGGUGAGUAAUACAUCUGAACAUGUCCUGUAGUGGGGGAUAGCCCGGCGAAAGCCGGAUUAAUACCGCCUACGAUCUACUGAUGAAAGCUGGGGCCCUUCGGGCCUCGCGCUUUAGGGUUGGCCGAUGGCUGAUUAGCUCUUUGGUGGGGUAAAGGCCUACCAAGGCAACGAUCAGUAGCUGGUCUGAGAGGACGACCAGCCAAACGGGGACUGAGAAACGGCCCAGAUCCCUACGGGAGGCAGAAGUGGGGAAUUUUGGAAAAUGGGCGAAAGCCUGAUCCAGAAAUGCGGCGGGUGGGAAGAAGGCCUCCGGGUGGUAAAGCACUUUUGUCCGGAAAGAAAUACUUGGCCCUAAGACGGUCGGGGGAGGACGGGACCGGAAGAAUAAGCACCGGCUAACUACGU
rnacentral:rRNA from 1 species